GGUUUCCAUUGCUGUGAAGAGACACCAUGACCAUGGCAACUCCUAUAAAGGAAAGCAUUUCAUUGGGUCUGUCGUACAGUUUCACAAGUUUAGUCCAUUAUCAUGGCAGGACAUGGCAGAAUGCAGGGAGACAUGGUGCUAGAGAAGAGCUGAGAGUUCUGUAUCUUGAUCCUUGGGCAGCAGGAAGUGAACUAAUUUGAGCUUCUGAGACCUCAAGCCGGCCCCCACAGUGACAUACUUCCUCUAACAAGGACACACCCACUUCAACAAGGCCACACCUACUCCAUCAAGACCCCAUCUCCCUAUAGUACCACUCCCUAUGGGCCAAGCAUUCAAAUACUUGAGUCUCUGGGGGCCAUACCUAUUCAAACCACCACAGUGUGUUUGUAAUGCCUUUUCCAGCAACAGCUAGAGCAUGGUGAGCAGAUGAACAGAUGGUUUGUAAUAAGUUGGCAUUAUUGAGAGGUGGGGAAAGGUAGAAGCUAGGACCUAGUUGGAAGAAGCAGAUCACUGGGGACUCCUCUUGGUGGCUGCCUCUUGCCUUUGCUCCUUCCUAUCUGCCAUUUUCUCUGCCUCCUGGGUGCUGUGGAGUGAAUUGCCCUGCUCUGCCAUACUCUCUCUGCUGUCAACACUGGACAUCUAGAACCAAGAGAGGAAGUAAAUCUUCCCUCUUUAAGUUGCUUUUCAUGACAGUUGACUUCAGCAACACAAAAAGCCUGACUAAAUACACCUGUCUAUGAGAAAUAUGAAAAGAUUAGAGACUUGAACUGACCUCGCCAGAUUCCUCUGGGUAAUAACUCUAAGUUGUUGGCUCAAAUAAAUGAGUUUAGCCUUAUGCUAUGGACGUCAAGUCUCCUGGAAGUUUAUCUAUCUACAAUCGGUUGUUUGAGGGGCAAGUCUGGGUAUUUCAGAGCCAAGAGUAUUGGGAUAAAGCUCGAGGGGGGAGGUCCUUGAGUUGGGGACCAUGGUGGAUUCCAUGUCAGGCAAGGGUGACCGAGGCAGAGGGUUUAUCUGCUUUCCCUGAGGUAAUGGCUGUAGGAUGUUACCUCCUGGCUACUAACUGCGUUGUGGGUGCUUUUCUGAGCCUGCUCCCCACUGUGUGGGAGAUGCAUGGCUAGUGUGUUGUAAGCAUACUGUUGGGAAGCCAAACAUUCUUUCAUCAACCAAAGGCAAACUUCAAAGCCCACAAGCUUCCACCUGAUCAAGCCUUCAUAGAAGACUGAGAGCUGUUUUUUUUUUUUGUUUGUUUUUUUGUUUGUUUGUUUGUUUUUUGAUCCUCUGUGGACUAGGGUGGCUCCAUUAACUUUGAAGUUCAUGGAUGGACAGACAGACCCUUAGCCACACUUUACACUUGUUUUUCCAAGAGUUUGAAAGCUCUGCCGUAGGAUAUUCUGUGUGGUAUGGUGGCCUUGGGUCGGGUGGACCAGAGAGGCGCAGCACUGUCAUUGGCUGGGCAAGGGACCUCUGUUGAAUUUAGAGUUCCUUUUCUGUAUUUUCAUGAUGUUGGGCAGACACUUCAUCUCCAACUGUG
rnacentral:lncRNA from 1 species